rnacentral:rRNA from 1 species
GACGAACGCUGGCGGCGUGCCUAAUACAUGCAAGUAGAACGCACAGUUUAUACCGUAGCUUGCUACACCAUAGACUGUGAGUUGCGAACGGGUGAGUAACGCGUAGGUAACCUGCCUGGUAGCGGGGGAUAACUAUUGGAAACGAUAGCUAAUACCGCAUAAUAUUAAUUAUUGCAUGAUAAUUAAUUGAAAGGUGCAAUUGCACCACUACCAGAUGGACCUGCGUUGUAUUAGCUAGUAGGUGAGGUAACGGCUCACCUAGGCGACGAUACAUAGCCGACCUGAGAGGGUGAUCGGCCACACUGGGACUGAGACACGGCCCAGACUCCUACGGGAGGCAGCAGUAGGGAAGCUUCGGCAAUGGACGUAAGUCUGACCGAGCAACGCCGCGUGAGUGAAGAAGGUGUUCGGAUCGUAAAGCUCUGUUGUAAGAGAAGAACGGGUGUGAGAGUGGAAAGUUCACACUGUGACGGUAUCUUACCAGAAAGGGACGGCUAACUACGUG